UUGCGAAAUAUACUAGUAGUAUGAGUUCGGCUAUUGUAUUAUCAAUAGUACUAAGUUUUUGAUACUAUCGAGUUUUUUGCCGUUAUGUUUACUCUUUGAUUAUUUUUACUCGUUAGAUUAUACUAUUCAACCAACCACCUACUCAACCCUAGAGAAUUACUAUCAGUUUAACCGCACAUCCUGUCAUCCUAUGGCCAAAAAUACGAUAGCACUAAGCGCUUGAUACUAUUGAUAGUAUAAUACCAACCGUCCUUAGAGCAAGUGGUAAAGGGCUUGGUGGUUGGUACCCGAGGUCUCAAGUUCGAAUACUAGUUAAUUCACAUUUUCAGCUAAGUUUAUUUCUAAAUGAAAUAAACGAAGCAGAUAGCAUGCUAUCUAUCUCUAAAGAAAAAGAAAAAAAAAAGAAAAAAAGAUAGUAUAG
rnacentral:lncRNA from 1 species